CCAGGGCUGACGCAGCAGGGUGGUGGCCAAGGAGACUGAAGCACCUAGCAAGUGGGGGUAGGGGUUUUACAUUCCAGGCAGAGGCAGAGUUUUGCCGCCGUCACUCCCCUGCCUGCUGGUACCAGUCCGGGCCCCACUCUGACUGGCCCGUCAGAGCGUGGAGGGGCUGAACUCACCACUCCCACAGAAGUAAAGGCCGCCACAGAGCUGAUGAUGGUGGGGAUGAUGUUGAACUUGCCAGCCUGUGUGCACAAAGACCAAGGCCAUGUGAUGGCGCAAGGCAUGCUGGAAGCAAUGGAUAUAGAUCAAAUCCCUGGGUUUGAGUCCUGAUGUGCCUCUUAAUUAGGCUGUAUAAUCUCAGAAGCCAGUCUUGGAGAAAUACUGGUGACGUCUCAUGGAACAGAGGAGCACACUUUUGGAAAUGCUGGGUGAGGGCAUUUUCUGCUUCUAACCAGGGUGGCACGAGGUUGGAAAACCACACCAGAUGAAGGUGAGUGGAAGGAAUUUGAGACUGUGUAGCCCAGAGAAGACAAAGCCGUAGGAGUUAGAGGCUGGGAAGCUGCAGAGCCAGGAGCUGGGCUGACCUGAGGAUUCUAUAAGGAGGUGGGCGAGGACUUCAAUCCCAGAACCGCCUGCUGCGGAAAGUCACCACACGCGUGCCACACGUCUGGGAAGACUCCAGGACAGCAUGUUGCUCACCUGGCAGGUGUGCUGAGAGGAGGCCCCUUCCUCAGGUGGAGGCUGGACUGAAUGAUCUCUGGGGUCACCUACUGUUGGAACAUGCAAACAGCAGCAGCUCCCAGAACGUACCGGGGGUCCCAGCCACUUAUAGUUUGGACACCACAAUCCUAUUUACUGCAAACCCCAGCGGAUAUUUGCAAGUGGCUCUUCGUUCGGUUUUCAGUGAGAGGGUUUGGUGUUAUCCCCAUCAUGGGUCUUCCUUUGCUCACUGGAAUCUUUUUUUCUUUUUAUUCUAAUUUAAGUUUAAAUUUUUGAUAAAUAAAUACUAUUUAUUAUUAUUAUUUGAGACAGAGUGUCACUCUGUUACCCAGGCACUGGCGCCAUCUCGGCUCACUGCAAC
rnacentral:lncRNA from 10 species